rnacentral:tRNA from 1 species
GGGGUUGUAGUUCAACUGGUUAGAGCACCGCCCUGUCAAGGCGGAAGCUGCGGGUUCGAGCCCCGUCAAUCCCG